GCCCCCUGGGCUCUCUGGUGAUUCAUGAUAACUUGGCGAAUCGCACGGCCUUGCGCUGGCGAUGGUUCAUUCAAAUUUCUUCCCUAUCAACUUUCGAUGUUUGGGUAGUGGCCAAACAUGGUUGCAACGGGUAACGGAGGGUUAGGGCUCGACCCCGGAGAAGGAGCCUGAGAAACGGCUACUACAUCCAAGGAAGGCAGCAGGCGCGCAAAUUACCCAAUCCCGACACGGGGAGGUAGUGACAAUAAAUACUGAUACAGGGCUCUUUCGGGUCUUGUAAUUGGAAUGAGUACAAUUUAAAUCCCUUAACGAGGAACAAUUAGAGGGCAAGUCUGGUGCCAGCAGCCGCGGUAAUUCCAGCUCUAAUAGCGUAUAUUAAAGUUGUUGUGGUUAAAAAGCUCGUAGUUGAACCUUGGGCCUGGCUGGCCGGUCCGCCUCACCGCGUGCACUGGUCCGGCCGGGCCUUUCCCUCUGUGGAACCCCAUGCCCUUCGCUGGGCGUGGCGGGGAGACAGGACUUUUACUUUGAAAAAAUUAGAGUGCUCCAGGCAGGCCUAUGCUCGAAUACAUUAGCAUGGAAUAAUGAAAUAGGACGCGCGGUUCUAUUUUGUUGGUUUCUAGGACCGCCGUAAUGAUUAAUAGGGACAGUCGGGGGCAUCAGUAUUCAAUUGUCAGAGGUGAAAUUCUUGGAUUUAUUGAAGACUCAUUACUGCGAAAGCAUUUGCCAAGGAUGUUUUCAUUAAUC
rnacentral:rRNA from 1 species